rnacentral:rRNA from 1 species
UACGUAGGGUGCGAGCGUUGUCCGGAAUUAUUGGGCGUAAAGAGCUCGUAGGCGGUCUGUCACGUCGGCUGUGAAAACCUGGGGCUCAACUCCGGGCCUGCAGCCGAUACGGGCAGACUAGAGUUCGGCAGGGGAGACUGGAAUUCCUGGUGUAGCGGUGAAAUGCGCAGAUAUCAGGAGGAACACCGGUGGCGAAGGCGGGUCUCUGGGCCGAAUACUGACGCUGAGGAGCGAAAGCGUGGGGAGCAAACAGG